UUUAACAAUAAUUUUGUUCCUAAUCAAAUAUGAGUUUGUCAUAAUAAAUCAGACAAAAAAUAUCCCCCCCUCCAUUGAACCGAUUGGUAACGCCCAACCAAUGAGUCGCACUUUCACCAAAACAACGCGAGUGGCGUUUGAAUGUGAGAGCACACGGGUAACGUUAGCGCCAAAAAUGAAGAGAAGUGCUGCACAGCGGACUAUAUUUAACUGCUGGUCAGAGAGGGAUGCAAAAAAAAAAACAUGUACUGAGAAAGAGGCCUAACCACAAGAGGGCGUACAAGGUUAUUCACCCCGGGUUAAGGUGGCCACCCCACCGAAGCAGCAUUUUGUUGAGAAAAAUUCAGAGAGCAGUCAAGUAUUCAAGUUUCCUCCAGUCUCCCCCUGCCGCCAUGUCUGGCACUGCUAUCACUGUGCUGAGUGUGCUAGUCUGCUAAAACCUCCUGCCAUUCACUGCGCCCUGGGAGUCCUUUCUGCUGGAUGCUAGGAUUUGGCAUUAUGUGGAAAUCUCAGGUGAAUAUAUGUUUUCGCAUGUAUUUUCAAGACAGUCUCAUCUUUGAAGAUUGAACGCUUUGAGGUUGCUCGUGGGGAGGUGCUGCUUCGCUUAAAUUGCCUCAUGUGUUUUCAUUUGUCUUGCGAUUGAUUCAUUCAUCUGUUUUUGUGCCUUUGCCAGUCGGAUACCUGCAUCUUAUCCCUCCAUUUACUGCAUCAGCACUGCUACACAUGCCAAAGUCGAGCUGUAUUGCGCAUGAGUAUGCCAGAACAUCCUCUGGCAAACAUGGAGGUUCAUAAGAGCUGCUGACUCACAUGACUCACAAUACAGCAGCUUCUUUAAUGAAUGUGUCUGGUCUGGCUGUAGAGCUCUGCAGGGCUCUCCACUCACCUGGCACAGACACACAGAUUCAGUGCCAGCAGCAUUCUAGUAGCCUCCAUAUGUUUGGCCUGUCAGACACGUAAAAUAUUCCACAUACUGGCAGUGACUCUGUCUUUAUCACUUUUUCAAUCUAUCCCUCACAAGAGCCAAAAAAACUUACAUGGGAUUGAUUUUAAAUGGAUAUUUUUUGUUCCUAAAUCCAGUAACCAAUGGCUACUUUUAAUGUAGUACGGGUAACUAUUACCGAACAAAACAUGAAAACUGACUAUGAAUUGGAAAAAUUUAUUCUGUAUUUGGCACAGGAAAGCCUUACAUGUAUUGUUGCAGUAAGUGUAUAUAAGUUUUUGUUGUUGUUGUUGUUGUUGUUUGCAAUAGAAGAUAUCAGGUGAAUUUACUCACUGAUUUCAAGUAAAUUUUAAAGCAAUAAACCCAAUUAUAACAAUCCCCUUGAAGGAAAGAUUUGUGUCAUUCUAGUCACUAAUGUGAAAUUGUCACUUAAAGUGGAAAUUUGGCAUUUUUCAAAUAUCGGCAUUAGCCGAUAAGUUUUUCUGCUUGGCCGAUGUGUUCGAGACUUUUUUUUGAAUGUGAGCCGGACUUUUAUUUUGACGGCGCUGAGAAAGGCAGCACCUGAGCGCAUACAGCUGACAUUCUCCCUCUUGUUCUCUGUGGUCAUUAACAGUUCUGUCUAAUACAGAUAUAAAUCUGUCU